rnacentral:lncRNA from 1 species
AGUAAAUAAAAUCUGUAUCUUAUACCGUUUUCAUGAUAAUUGAAGAAGAAUAACUUUUUUGAAAAAAAUGCGAGUUUUAAAAACUUUGAGGUCGUUGAGUUACCUCUAAAUAUUUUACAAUUUCCCAGAAACUUUGCUAAUUGUAUUUUUUUAUCAAUAGGCACAUAUUUUUGACCUAGCGACCCGGACAUUUCAACAAAAUCAGAAAUAAGAAACACCUUAAAACCUAUAAAGAACAUCUAAGACAUAAAUAUAUAUUUACUUAUAUGUAUGAUCAUAGAUUCUCUAAUGCAUUUAUUUCAUCAUAUUAUUUACUAUGCUUUUGCAAGGAAAGGCUAUUAAUGCAACCUACAAUAUUUUAUCCCCUCAAAGAAAGAAAAACAAAAGAGGAGAAUAACCAAAAAAUAUCUACAUGACGUCAAAAAGCUCUUUAAUAAGUCAGCAGUUAGUGUGCAUAAUACAUAGGAGUAGUAUUGUUUGGUAUAGCGAUUCUCUAGUGAUGUGAAAGAACAAGUGCAUUUAAAACAAUAGUAUACCGGAUUGUGUUUGGAACCGGUACUUGUAGUGACAAUACGUCAAAAAGUUAAUUAGCCCACGGAUGACGUAAUCUUCCAAAUUUUUGAGCUAUCAAGAAAGCUUUUCCUUUGUUAAAAAUAACAAAGAAAAACCAAUAUUAUCUUACUUUAAAACGGGAGGUCUCAUUUGUGACUAGCUCCCAAUCUGGACCGUGCAAAAAAUUCGUAACGCUCUUUUGGAUACUAGAAUCUCAGAGAGGUUGCUGAAGUGGCUGCUACAACAUUGCUAUCGCUUGAAUGGGAAGAAAAUAUGACGCUCAGUAGUCCGGAUCUUAAUCCAAUAGAUUAUUUUGACUCGGGCUACGUUGAAUCAAAAACAAAUCAAACAUCUCGUGCCAUCAAGAACUCUCUGAUUUCCUCUAUCAGGAAAACAAUGGCUAAUAUUCUAAGGAACUGACUUGUCAACGCCUGUUCCUCCUUCCGGAUCCGGAUGCUGGCCAUGACUGAUGUUUGACUCAAAUGAAUACAACUGAGCUCUUUCUCAAAAUUUAAGUUUAUUAUUCAAGCUGAUUUCUAAGUCAAUCUGCCAAAAAAGGUGGCGUCAGUGACAAUAUAAAGAUUUGAUCUUAACACCCUGUAUGUAACUUAUAUGUACGUUUCAACUGUUAGGUCGAACCACUAUUUGGAGAGUCGAAAUAAAAAUAACCAUAACUCAA